rnacentral:rRNA from 1 species
CGUUCCCGGGCCUUGUACACACCGCCCGUCACAUCACGAAAGUGGGUUGUACUAGAAGUCUGCACCAGCGGCCCAAGGUAUGACUCAUGAUUGGGGUG